GUAUUACUCCAAAUUUUGUACCAUUUAAAGACUAUGCCUAUUCUUGGGAGGACAAAUUUUGAAUUUUGGUGUCUUUUGGAGGUUCAACAAAAGCGUAGUAUUUUUGUCGGGGGAGAGGGAGGGGGGGGGGGGGAGGAGGGUAGGUAAAAUUGAUGUUUUGGGGUUGGUUUUCUUGGUAUUUUGAAGGGGUUAAAAUUUAAAGGAGAAAUUUACAUCAUUAUCAUUAACUUGUAUGAAUGUUUCACAAGCUUAGAAGAUCUUGAUUUUAAGAUGUUUUAUAUUUUUCAGGUUAUGUAAAUUUUCAGUAAUUCUUUAUUAUUAUUUUUGGGCGGGGGAGGGGGGGGUAAAAUGUGCAUAGAUAUUGGGGAAUGUUUUUACCAGGUAUUUCUUUAGGAUACAUUGACAAACAUGAUUUGUUUGAUAUUCCUUUGCUGCAAUACUACGUAGACUCAAUUACUCUGCUAAAAUUAACUCUCCUGGAAAUUUUUCAUGUGAUCUUCAGAGCUCCAGAGUCUGUUUUAUCCGAGUACAAUUAAUACCAAUUAAUUACCUUCAAUAUAUUAUUUUAAUAUCAUUUCACGCGUUCUCGUUUGUAUAUGCAGACAUACAUAGGUGUUGUAAAACGUCGAAAUUUUCAUAUUUUUUCAUAUAAAAUUACAUUUUUUCAACAACAAAAAAAUCUGUUGAAAGCCAUUUUCAUUCGAUUUUGUGAAAAUUGGUAUUGUGAAAUUCAGAAAUAUAUCUAAUUUCACUGUUUAAUGUUGAAAUAUUUUUAUUACUAAGGCUAUGUCAAUUUAAUUUUUGAUUCUUUGGAUUUUUUAUGGCAAAAACGGGUGAGCAAGCGAAUUUUUUCAUUUUUAAUUUUUUAUUCAAACUGAAAUUCCUAAAUCUUCCUAAAAGAGUUUAAAUUGAAAGUUUGAUUUGAUGACAUGUUGGUAGCAUUAUUUAACAUUUGAUUUUUAUUGAUGAAGGCAUUCUAUCGGGCUUUUUGAAUGAACAAAUGAAUAAAAGUUUAAUGGAGAUCUUUUGAGUUACGUACAUCUUUUAUGUUCAAAUCGGAAAGUUACGUACAUCAUAUUGUGAAAGUUACGUACAUCAAUCUACGUUUUUCAAAUACCGAUUGCAGCAAAUUUGGGACAGUAUCAUGAAGACUUUGGGUAUAAUUGUGAACUAUUGAUAUAAAUAGACAUCCUCUUUCGUGAAGUGUAUUUCAUUUCGCUUUUUAAAAGACAAAAACAACGCUAUUCUAAUUUAACUGUUUCUUCUUCCACCAUCUUGGGAUGUACGUAACUGCAGUUACGUACAUCAGUUUAAUACCAGUGAACAGAUGUUUCUCGUUUUUGAAAUAAGAUGUAAAUGUUUUUUAAUUGUAAUAGCCAAUAAAAAAAAUUGAUGCAUGAUUUUGGGGAGGGAGGGGCUGCAAAAAAUUAAACCAAAGGAUAUAUAAACAAUUCUCAAGAAACGCGUACUAGGAUUUCUCUUGAAAAAAAUAUAAUCAACUCGGGAUAUCUUAAACAGUUAUUCAUUUAUGUGUGUACAAUAUUGGAGCAAGAUAUAGGCUAAUGCUUAUUUAUACAUAAAUCCCCGAGUACCCAAACUCCGUCACAGAAUAUCGGUAAGCGGAAAACACGCUGCAAUACUCUCUGAAUUAUGUUUUGAAUUUUUUUUUUUUUUUGCUACACUUAGUAAUGAACUUGAACAUUGUUUUAAGUACAGUAGUAUUAACAAAAUGUUCACUUAUUGAGCUUAUAUAACACCAAUAGAUAGAACGUGUAUCACGUUCGUGUGUAUUACGUCCAACUAACCCAACUCCGUCACCAGGACCCUCUACAAUAUGGCAACAUUUCUUUUGUCCCUGUUUCUCAAAAUUGUAAACAGAAAGGAAAAGAAAAAGAUUUGAAAAAGCUUUUUGUACACAUGUCUUGUUAAAAUAGGCUGUACUAAAUUUUUAAUUAUUUCAUCAAAGCAUCAUUUAUGUCGAUUUAAGCUAAUAACCGAUAUUCUUGAAAAUGGGGAGGAAUGUAGUAUAACUAAAUAUAUCGGGGUUGUCAGAAACAGGCUAUAACUUAAAAUUACCUGUGUAUUUUAAUACUAAGCAGGGGUCAGUAAUCUGACCCUGUGUUCAAUAGAUGAGUACUGGUCAUCCCAGUAUCCCAGGCACCCUGCAAUCAGUUGUAACACGGACCCCGACCAGAGACGACGUUAUCCGUCUCCGAGUGGUACAACUGUAGACUACGUACAGUGAGUGCCUUAGGAUAAUCCUAAGCACUCAACUGCACUGUGCAUGCAUUUAAGAUAUUCUACACUCCACUACAUUAUCUCCGACGUGUAGUGCAUCAGGGCAAAUCUAGACGAAAAUUUUUGAUAUUUUAGUCACAUGAUCAAUUAUGGCAUAUCAUCUUUAACCCUUGACAUAGACAAAAUAAGGAUGUUGGCGCUGCGACGCAGAAAUCGAUGUGAAAGGAAAAGUGCUUACUGAUUUCACAUCAAAUGUGAUAGAUAUAAUAGAUCACGUAUCAAUUUAUUGUUAUUUUUGUUGACAUAUUCUUGAAUUGACUGUUAGGCCUAUAAUUCACACUCUCACUGUCGUCUGGGGAGGUGCGGUUAUCAUCUCCGCACAGCCAAUCAGAAUCGCGGAAGAAUUGUCCGCCAUUACCUCCGUCAAAACUUGUGAUGUCGGAGGUUUUGAGGUACAGAUGUUUUAGCCUGAUUACUUCGGGUUCUCAUAAAAUUGGUGGAAUUUUGUGCCUCGGGGAAAUGCAACAGUGAUUCACGUUACCCAGAAAGGAUACUAGAAGUGAUGUUUAUCCCAUUUCCAAAGCCAAAAUCACAAAAAGAUUAAUGUUUACGUGGGAUAAAGGCGUGCGAUAGGCCCCACAGUAAGAGCAGAAUGGACCGGCAAACGUUUGUAUGUUUAAAAAUUCAUUGGAUAUACCUGUAACAGCAGCACAAGUCAGAUAAUGUACAAGACCAGAUAACAACAGCAGAAAAUGCCUUUCAUCAACAGAGCAUACUGAAUCAUCAUCUGUAACUCCAGUUAUCAAUGGAAGCCCAAAAUUAACCCCACCAACAGGCCACCCUUUUGACAUUAACAGUAUUCUACAGCAAGAGAAAAAAACCCAGGGUUGUUUUUAUACUAUAUCAAUUUGAGACAUGCCACAUUUUGUACUAUUUUAGAGUUUUUUUAUAUACAUCUGAACAAGUUCCCCAGUGUGUAAAACAGGAGGGAUAUAGCAAAUAUGACAAAAGAAUCGCAGUUGUUAUUAACACCGAUGAGGCUGAGACAUAAUUUUGAAAUUAAGGAUUUGGCAUCAAGAUUUUGUAUUUCAACACAGUGUAUCGGCGAUAUAUUCUGUGCCUGAAUUGACCUUAUGUUGUGUUAGGUUGUGUUUCAAUAUAGUCCUAUAGGAAUGAUAUUAACAACAUGACAACUGAAUAAAAGCUCAAUUCUCAACAACCAUCGCUAUCAUUGAUUGUGCAGAAAGGAAAUCACAGAAACAAUCUUCUUUAAAACUACAGUUACAAAUUAUACAUUCUGACUACAGAUCAGCUACAACCUAUAGGGGACUUGUGGCUUGUGAUCCUUUAGGGGACUACAUGUAGCUUUAUGCUAAUUUGUGUUAUCUUGGAUAAAUAAAGGCUAUUAUUAUUAUCAUAUUUGUUAGUGAAUUAUUUACUGGAUCUAUGUCAGAUGUUGCUGUUACAGAGAAUAGUGGAUUUUACAAACACCUUGUUAUUUGAUGGUGGGUUGAAUUAUCCUGGAAGGGGAAUUCAUUUUGCAGACAAAGGUUUCACGAUAUCCAAAGAUCCAGGGGAAAUAUGUCUGCACCUCUGUAUCUCUGUCAGUGUAUUCCCACCAGUUAGUACAUGUAUAAAUAUUGAGACAUCAAUAAAGUUUGGAUAGUUUGUACCCUACUAAAUCUUGGACAAAACCCAGGGUUGAAGAGAAAAUUGAGAGCAUGUGAAUUCAUUGUGUACUACUUGUAUACAAUGUGAGUAGGUUAUUCAAAAUGAUAAUCAAACAUUUUAUGAGAGAGUAAAUUUAUGUCCAACUUUGGGAAAACUUACAUUAUGAUGAAUAUAAACUAGUAGAUUAUUUAAAUUUUCCUUUGAAAUGUGUGAAUGCUCACAACCAAGAAAAUUAAACCAUUUAUUCUUAAAGAACAAUGAUUAUUCAACAGAUGUGAAUUAUUUGCUGAAAAUAAAAAAAAAUUGGUACUUAAUUUAUUGUCCUAUUUAUGAUAAACUUCGAUUUUAAUAUUAUGACUCCUUUAAGGAAUUAUCAUAUUGUGUUGCUAUGUAAUGACAACAAGUACUAUAGUACAAGGGGUUGGGUAACUAAUUAAAACAGAUGUUUUACGAACAGGAAAUUGUUUUUUGGUCCGAGUCUUUAUACUAUUCUUGUUUAUAAUCCAAGUUUUCUAUUGUGUGUCAUUUAACAUAUUCUUGACUGUACUGUCAAAAUGGUGAUGUCUAUCAAACAUUGUACACAUUCUUUCUGUUGA